UCUUCCAACCGACAUUUCAGUCUUUUUCUGCUGCUAAGUGCUAACCAUAAACAACUGAAAUGGAGAAACCCUGGAUGAUAUUUCCACCGCAGCACUUACAGGUCAUGGAUGAGUUGGAUGGAUGAUUCUUUAAUCUGGCAAUCACAAGUACACCACAGAACUGAUGGAAAGCAUUGUUCAAAAGUUCAGUUCUUUGGAGUCAUGAAAAAUGUAAUGAGGCCACCAGUGACUCUGGAUGAAGUGCAACAGUCCAUUGAGAUUUUGAACGGCCUUCCAGCACUCUUCCCAUCAGGAGUUGCACCACCACAGAAACUGGGACAGCCACGUGAGCCUCUGUUUCAUAUUCUCAUGCCCUCUGAAAACGCUGCUGCUUUUCUUAGCAGAUGCCGUCUAUCAAGCUUCUAACUGACCAGGAUAACUGCAUGAUCAGUGUUGGGAAGAACAGUGACAACAUUCCCCGAAGGCCUGCUGCACGAAGGUGUUCUGUAUGUCAUGGCGUACUAUUACGCGCUGCAAGUCAGGUUUAGAUUGAAGACCCUUUUUAUUAUUAUUUUUUUAUGUUUAAAAAUAGUAUAUGAAGACCAAGCAAUGUUGGUAAUGUUGUAGACGUAGGGACAUUGUUAUUGGAAAGCCUUGACAUCUAAGAUUGACAUGUUUUAAUAGAAUUCUCAGAAGCGGCCUGAACAUGCUUGUUGUGUAUUUGGAUAAAUCUGUCUUGUUUGCACACUUGUAAUGUAUUCAUAUCAAGCUGCCAUGAUGGCACACUUAUUAAAGUUAAUAAAAUU